CUUCUUUUAAUAAAAAAAAACUAUUUAGCUGGUUACUUAAGCUAAUGGUCCAGGUUGUAAGAAAAUACAACAGGCCCAUUAGUGCUUCAUCUCUAAUCUAAAGAAUGAAAUACAGUUGCAACUUGAAACAUGAAAGAAACGUGAAACAAGGACAUACAUAACUGCAAAUGGCAAUCAAAGGGGCAAAGUUGGAAAAUAAAGUUUAUUUGUUUCAGAAUCGAUUAUGUGAGACGCAAAAGCUAGGAAUAUCAGUUUCAGUACAACCGGCGUUUUGGUCUCAAAAACUGAGUUUCCUAGAUGCGCUUUUCAUUCACCCAAACAACAAAAAUCUGGAAACUGCGUUUUAAAAAGUACACGCAAGUUUGCACACUGAAAACAUGUUGCCAAACACAUAUUACAUUAUUCAAAUUCAAACAACUGCUUUUGGUUAGCACCAGACUCUCAGUGUUCAAGUUCUUGAUUAAAUCAGUAGCUUGCAAAUUGAACUUUACCUCAAUGUGAUCGAAGCUGUAAAGUUUUUAUUUUUUUUUAUCGAUGGCCGUUGUUAAUCAUGUGAAACGUAAAAGUUGAAAAGUAAAGAUCUGAACAACGCAGCUAGGAAUCCACCAAAUAUUCGCAUCAAAAUGUGAUAACUCCAGGCUAAUAUAGCCUACAUUCGUAACUGAUUUUUUAAACAUUUUGAAGCAUAAACUUUGUGAAGUAAAGGAUCAAGCUAGUUUCUGUACAAAGUAGCUCAAAAUCUCACUAAACUCAAUUGUUGUAAACAAAGGUAAAAAAAAGUUCCUUGAUAAAAAGAUUACAUUUUUUUUAAAGUAUUAAUUAACUCAUAAUAUUGUUAGACACACAUAUAAAAGUUGAACAUGAAUUCCUAACAAAAAAUAAACGGGAACAUGAAGUUACUAUAAUUUAGAAGGUCAGUGUUUAUUUUUGCUUAGAUAAGAAGUGGACUAUCCACCUAGUUUAAGAGACAUAUUUUCCUCGUCUCCAACAUCGGUUAAUAUGUACAUGUAAAAAAAAAUACUAAAUU
rnacentral:lncRNA from 1 species